rnacentral:rRNA from 1 species
CAGUAGCCGCGGGAAUACGGAGGGAGCUAGCGUUGUUCGGAAUUACUGGGCGUAAAGCGCGCGUAGGCGGUUACUCAAGUCAGAGGUGAAAGCCCGGGGCUCAACCCCGGAACUGCCUUUGAAACUAGGUGACUAGAAUCUUGGAGAGGUCAGUGGAAUUCCGAGUGUAGAGGUGAAAUUCGUAGAUAUUCGGAAGAACACCAGUGGCGAAGGCGACUGACUGGACAAGUAUUGACGCUGAGGUGCGAAAGCGUGGGGAGCAAACAGGAUUAGAGACCCCAGUAGUCCCUGUCUCUUAUAA